GAUGAUUCACCACUCAUUUCAUGUCAGCUUUAACAUCACGAACAUCACGUUCACUUCCUUCAGGCAAGACUGAGACAAAAGCUGCAGUACCUAUAUCUUUGCUGUAUAGAAAAGAGCAAGUAAUACAGCUUUGGAAUUACAUAAGGUGAUUCCCUAGAAAAGACUUUUUUCCCCAACAUCCUCAUGUCUCUGGAAACUGGGUCAUUCGUCCAUGCAUCUACAACAUCACUCUCAUAGAAUCAGGAAAAUGAAAACCAUUUGCUGUAAAAACUUAGUUAUAGUCAAGAAAUCAGAGACAAAUUCUGAUUGGAUAAAUUAUUUUUUUAUGGUGAGACUUAAAAUACUGGAACAUAUGAAUUCACUAUAUUACGAUGACAUGGUGCAUGUCCUGAAUAAAAAUGUCAUUCGAUGCUUAAUAUGAUGCAUUCUAAAAAAAAUAAUAAAAAAAAAUAGUUAGUCACUAUUGUUU